AUUGAACGCUGGCGGCAUGCCUUACACAUGCAAGUCGAACGGCAGCACGGGGAGCUUGCUCCCGGGUGGCGAGUGGCGCACGGGUGAGUAAUACAUCGGAGCGUGUCCUGUUGUGGGGGAUAACUACGCGAAAGCGUAGCUAAUACCGCAUACGCCCUACGGGGGAAAGGAGGGGAUCUGCAAGGACCUUUCACUAUUGGAGCGGCCGAUAUCGGAUUAGCUAGUUGGUGAGGUAACGGCUCACCAAGGCGACGACCCGUAGCUGGUUUGAGAGGACGACCAGCCACACUGGGACUGAGACACGGCCCAG
rnacentral:rRNA from 1 species